UGGGGAAUAUUGCACAAUGUGCGCAAGCCUGAUGCAGCCAUGCCGCGUGUAUGAAGAAGGCCUUCGGGUUGUAAAGUACUUUCAGCGGGGAGGAAGGGAGUAAAGUUAAUACCUUUGCUCAUUGACGUUACCCGCAGAAGAAGCACCGGCUAACUCCGUGCCAGCAGCUGCGGUAAUACGGAGGGUGCAAGCGUUAAUCGGAAUUACUGGGCGUAAAGCGCACGCAGGCGGUCUGUCAAGUCGGAUGUGAAAUCCCCGGGCUCAACCUGGGAACUGCAUUCGAAACUGGCAGGCUAGAGUCUUGUAGAGGGGGGUAGAAUUCCAGGUGUAGCGGUGAAAUGCGUAGAGAUCUGGAGGAAUACCGGUGGCGAAGGCGGCCCCCAGGACAAAGAAUGAAGCUCAGGUGCGAAAGCGUGGGGAGCAAACAGG
rnacentral:rRNA from 1 species